rnacentral:rRNA from 1 species
UACGGGGGGGGCAAGCGUUGUUCGGAAUUACUGGGCGUAAAGGGCUCGUAGGCGGCCAACUAAGUCAUACGUGAAAUCCCUCGGCUUAACCGGGGAACUGCGUCUGAUACUGGAUGGCUUGAGUUCGGGAGAGGGAUGCGGAAUUCCAGGUGUAGCGGUGAAAUGCGUAGAUAUGUGGAGGAACACCGAUGGCGAAGGCAGCCCCCUGGGUUAACACUGACGCCCAGGCACGAAAGCGUGGGGAGCAAACAGG